ACUGCUCAGUAACACGUGGACAACCUACCCUUAGGUCUGGUAUAACCCCGGGAAACUGGGAAUAAUACCGGAUAUAUCGCGGAGGCUGGAAUGCGUCGCGAUAGAAAGCUCCGGCGCCUAAGGAUGGGUCUGCGGCCUAUCAGGGUAGUAGUGGGUGUAAAGUACCUACUAGCCUACGACGGGUACGGGUUGUGAGAGCAAGAGCCCGGAGAUGGAUUCUGAGACACGAAUCCAGGCCCUACGGGGUGCAGCAGGCGCGAAAACUUUACAAUGCUGGAAACAGCGAUAAGGGGACCUCGAGUGCCAGGAUACAAUCCUGGCUGUCGUAAUGCCUAAAAAGCAUUUCAUAGCAAGGGCCGGGCAAGACCGGUGCCAGCCGCCGCGGUAACACCGGCGGCUCGAGUGGUAACCGCUAUUAUUGGGUCUAAAGGGUCUGUAGCCGGCCGGAUAAGUCUCUUGGGAAAUCUGGCUGCUUAACAGUCAGGCUUUCAGGAGAUACUGUCUGGCUCGAGGCCGGGAGAGGUGAGAGGUACUUCAGGGGUAGGGGUGAAAUCUUGUAAUCCUUGAAGGACCACCAGUGGCGAAGGCGUCUCACCAGAACGGACCUGACGGCAAGGGACGAAAGCUAGGGGCACGAACCGGAUUAGAUACCCGGGUAGUCCUAGCCGUAAACGAUACUCGCUAGGUGUCGGCCAUGGUGCGACCGUGGUCGGUGCCGUAGGGAAGCCGUGAAGCGAGCCACCUGGGAAGUACGGCCGCAAGGCUGAAACUUAAAGGAAUUGGCGGGGGAGCAC
rnacentral:rRNA from 1 species